CCUACGGGAGGCUGCAGUGGGGAAUAUUGCGCAAUGGGCGAAAGCCUGACGCAGCGACGCCGCGUGAGGGAUGAAGGUCUUCGGAUCGUAAACCUCUGUCAGCAGGGAAGAACGGUCACUGUGCUAAUCAGCAGUGAAUUGACGGUACCUGCAAAGGAAGCACCGGCUAACUCCGUGCAAGCAGCCGCGGUAAUACGGAGGGUGCGAGCGUUAAUCGGAAUUACUGGGCGUAAAGGGCUCGUAGGCGGUAUGUCAAGUCAAGGGUGAAAUCCCCGCGCUCAACGUGGGAACUGCCUCUGAUACUGGCAAACUGGAGUGUGUGAGAGGAUAGUGGAAUGUAAGGUGUAGGAGUGAAAUCCGUAGAUAUCUGGAGGAACAUCAGUGGCGAAGGCGACUAUCUGGCACAUAACUGACGCUGAGGAGCGAAAGCGUGGGGAGCAAACAGGAUUAGAUACCCUGGUAGUC
rnacentral:rRNA from 1 species